rnacentral:rRNA from 1 species
GACGAACGCUGGCGGCGUGCUUAACACAUGCAAGUCGAGCGGAGAUUGUGGAAGGUUUACCUGAAGCGAUCUUAGCGGCGGACGGGUGAGUAACGCGUGGGCAACCUGCCUCUUACAGGGGGAUAACACAGGGAAACUUGUGCUAAUACCGCAUAACAUCAUGAUAUGGCAUCGUAUUAUGAUCAAAGGAGCAAUCCGGUAAGAGAUGGGCCCGCGUCCGAUUAGCUAGUUGGUGAGGUAACGGCUCACCAAGGCGACGAUCGGUAGCCGAACUGAGAGGUUGGUCGGCCACAUUGGGACUGAGACACGGCCCAGACUCCUACGGGAGGCAGCAGUGGGGAAUAUUGCGCAAUGGGGGAAACCCUGACGCAGCAACGCCGCGUGAAGGAUGAAGGUUUUCGGAUCGUAAACUUCUUUAGUCGGGGACGAAUGAUGACGGUACCCGAAGAAUAAGCCACGGCUAACUACGUGCCAGCCGCCGCAGUAA